rnacentral:rRNA from 1 species
AGAGCGAACGCUGGCGGCAGGCCUAAUACAUGCAAGUCGAACGGAUCCUUCGGGAUUAGUGGCGGACGGGUGAGUAACACGUGGGAACGUGCCCUUUGGUUCGGAACAACUCAGGGAAACUUGAGCUAAUACCGAAUGUGCCCUUCGGGGGAAAGAUUUAUCGCCAUUGGAGCGGCCCGCGUCUGAUUAGCUAGUUGGUGAGGUAAAGGCUCACCAAGGCUACGAUCAGUAGCUGGUCUGAGAGGAUGAUCAGCCACACUGGGACUGAGACACGGCCCAGACUCCUACGGGAGGCAGCAGUAGGGAAUCUUGCGCAAUGGGCGAAAGCCUGACGCAGCAACGCCGCGUGCGGGAGGAAGGCCUUCGGGUUGUAAACCGCUUUCAGGGGAGACGAAGCUUCCAGGGUUAUAGCUCUGUGGAGUGACGGUAUCUUCAGAAGAAGUCCGGCUAACUACGUGCCAGCAGCCGCGGUAA